UCAGCCAGUGAAGGGCGAGGAGAGCCCG
rnacentral:sRNA from 1 species